UGCAAGUCGAGCGGCAGCGACUUAACUGAACCUUCGGGGAACGUUAAGGGCGGCGAGCGGCGGACGGGUGAGUAAUGCCUGGGAAUAUGCCCUGAUGUGGGGGAUAACUAUUGGAAACGAUAGCUAAUACCGCAUAAUCUCUUCGGAGCAAAGAGGGGGACCUUCGGGCCUCUCGCGUCAGGAUUAGCCCAGGUGGGAUUAGCUUGUUGGUGAGGUAAUGGCUCACCAAGGCAACGAUCCCUAGCUGGUCUGAGAGGACGACCAGCCACACUGGAACUGAGACACGGUCCAGACUCCUACGGGAGGCAGCAGUGGGGAAUUUUGGACAAUGGGCGAAAGCCUGAUCCAGCAAUGCCGCGUGAGUGAAGAAGGCCUUCGGGUUGUAAAGCUCUUUUGUCAGGGAAGAAACGGUGAAAGCUAAUAUCUUUUGCUAAUGACGGUACCUGAAGAAUAAGCACCGGCUAACUACGUGCCAGCAGCCGCGGUAAU
rnacentral:rRNA from 1 species